UUGGAGAAUAGAAUGAAUGGCUUUACCAGCUUUUUGUUUCAUAUAAAAAAUUGAAUUUUUAUUUUAAUGAAAAGAUUAAAAUCAUUUUUUUAGACGAUAAGACCCUAUGAAGCUUUACUAAUAAUUAGUUUUUUUGGGGCAAACAAAAAUUUUGUUAUUUAAAAUUUGUUCUAUGGUGAUCUUAAAAAAUUACAAGAAAAAGCUACUCUAGGGAUAACAGCAUUAUUUUUAAUAAAGUUCUUAUUGAAUUAAAAGAUUGUGACCUCGAUGUUGAAUUAAGAAAGGUAGCUUGUGCAGCAGCUAGUUACUUUUAGUCUGUUCGACUAACUAAUCUU
rnacentral:rRNA from 1 species